AAAAAUCAUAAAGCUUGUAUGCUUAUCCUGAAAAGAAAUCUCCUGUAACCACUGGGACAAGAUUUUUGAAAAUCAGACGAGAAGUCUAAUCCUGUGUGUGGCUAAAGUACAAUUCAGAUUGAAUCUAUAACCUCAUAGGGCUUCUUAUGAUAGGGGAUUGAGCCGUUGACUGGGAAGGAAAAGAUCUUGAAACUUUUGAUGAAGACCUUUAAUGGGCCUAGACCACAAGACAGGGAAGCUAAAGGAAAAGAUCAAGAAGAAGCGGAAGGAACAUCACUUUUAGCUGCUGCCCCAGAAGAUGUACAUGCAAAGCCACAUAUCAGAGAUGAAAAGGAGGAGCUCAAGCCUGAACUGGAGGAACUAUCAUGAACAUGAAUUGAAAGGUCAGCAAGAGUGUGCAUGAGCUGCUACAGCACAUGGUGCCCCAAGACUGGCCUUCUAAACAUACACUACUAUGGCUGCUCCCUCUAGUCUGCCUUCCAAAUUUCAUGCAAAAUAUUUCUAGAGAACACAAAUACAAAACUAUUUAAGAAGCGG
rnacentral:lncRNA from 1 species